rnacentral:rRNA from 1 species
UACGAAGGGUGCAAGCGUUGCUCGGAAUCAUUGGGCGUAAAGGGCAAGUAGGUGGUCUUGUUUGUCUGUGGUGAAAGCCUUGGGCUUAACCCAAGAAGUGCCUCAGAAACGGCAAGACUAGAGUACUGGAGAGGGUCGCAGAAUUCCCGGUGUAGCGGUGAAAUGCGUAGAGAUCGGGAGGAAUACCAGAGGCGAAAGCGGCGGCCUGGACAGUUACUGACACUCAACUGCGAAAGCGUGGGGAUCAAACAGG